UCCCCGGAGGAGUGGUGGUUAUGCCUCGGUGCUCUAACCGCUGCGGCCCGGGUUCGAUUCCUGGCCAGGGAA